GUCGCGCGCUAAUGAUCGUACUGCAUCGAACCCGCUUGGUGCGUGUGGUUACGCGUGCGUUGCGUGCGAACCGGCUAUCGGUUUUCUGUUGUGUGUGAAAAAGCGUGGUGGUGUGGUGAUUGCUGAGGACUUUCAGACGCAGAAGGAGCAGAAGGACACCGGAACAACGUGCAGCAGACCAUCCUGUCCUGUGUGUUCCAAAAACCCAUUGGCAUUGGGUGCCAGCAACUGCCAGCGGUGUGAAGUGAGGCUUGCUCGUCCUGAAUUAGUUUCCUUUCCUCGCGCCCUUUCUUCCCUCACGUCACGGUGUCCGUUAGAGUUUCUUUUUGUUUUGGGGCGUGUGAGAGACAAUCCAAGUGCCCUGUGUGUGUGUGUGCAGUGGAACAGUGUCGGUGCGUUUCCGGUCCCUUUCUGUUUGCUGAAGCGUCCAGGUGGUUUUAUAGGAUAGACAGGAGGAAACAACACACAUACACAAUAUGGUGCUAAGCGAAGGACAGCUGGCACUGUGCACAGUGUUCACCCUAUGGUUGGGUGGUCUGCCUUUGAUGUACUCGCCGGCGCCCCGCGGCGACUGUGAUAAUUGCUGCCCCAUCCGGGAGCCGAAGGAUAUACAGUUCUUUCUCUUCACACGCCAAAACCCCGACACCGGUGACACCCUGUUCGUGUCGGACAAGAAGCACCUCCGGGCGUCCCACCUGAACCGCACCAAUCCGCUCGUCAUCUAUCUGCACGGCUUUUCCGAGCGGGCGCCGGGCGGGGCGGGCGAAAGCAGCAAACAGAUGAAGGACGCGCUGCUCGCCGCCGACGACUACAAUGUGGUGCUGGUGGACUGGAGCCCGCUCACCGCGCUGCCCUGGUACGUGAACUCGGUGCAGAAUGGGCCGCGCGUCGGUCGCUACAUUGCACGGUUCGUGCGGUUUCUGGUGCUGUCCGAGUUUCCGCUCGAGAAGAUCCACCUGAUCGGGUUCAGCCUCGGCGCGGAGGUGGCUGGGUUCGCUGGCAAAACGCUGAACGAGUGGGGCCUUAAGCUGCCCCGCAUCACCGGUUUAGAUCCGGCCUUCCCGCUGUACGUGUUUGAGCGUGCCUCCCAGCGUCUCAGCCCCAAGGAUGCGGAGUUCGUCGACGUCAUCCACACGGACGGCGGCCUGCUAGGCUACCCGUGGCCGCUCGGGCACGUCGACUUCUACCCGAACGGUGGCGUCCCGCUGCAGCCGGGCUGCGCCCAACAGGAGCUGGCCAAAAACCGUUGGCUCGGUGUAUUUAUUGGCUGUAGCCAUGCCCGGGCCUGGCAGUACUUUGCCGAAUCACUCACCCGCCCGCAAGGCUUCCUCUGCGAGCGGUGCGAACCGACCGACGCUCCGGCCUCGGGUGCAGCGAGCCGCUCGACCCGAGACACCAACAACUGCACCAUGACGCGGGAAGUGUUUAUGGGCAUGUACACGGAUCGGACGCUGCGCGGUAAGUUCUACCUCAGCACCAACCCGCAGCCACCGUUCGGGAAGAAUCUGAUGCCGCACGAACAGCAGCAAAAGCAACAGCAACUGCCGGUGCAGCGAAAAUCCUAAAAUGCCAAAAUGCUGCGCCCAGCUUCCAGGUAAAGGCCGCCAAGGCUGGUGGUUGGAAGCUGCCGCGCACGAUAGUGUGUAGAACGCCAAAAACGAUCGUUCGCUACUUUACACCUACCAGUAUGUUCGUCGACGGAUCCU